rnacentral:lncRNA from 1 species
GCUUGGCGGGGCCCCAUGCUGGGCUGUAGGGCGCACAGCUCUCCUUUCUAGGUGCCAGGUCGAACACUGAGCUUACUAUUGUACAAGAUCUAACCCAGGAGGGUGAGAAAGGAGGAGAUGAGGCAGGACAGCAAGAGGGACUGGGGUCCCACACAGCAGCUCAGCCACUGCCGACCUCGGGGUCAGGAAACAGACACCCACAAGAGCGUCCACGACCCGUAUGGGAAGAUGUCUGAACCCCGAGACGGCGUGUUCUGUGCUGGAGAACAACUUCCAGGGCUUUAUCCAGGUGUUCUAAAGCCACAGCACCAAAAAGAAUUCUCUUCGGCAAAGGCAGCAGGACUCAACAGGAAGCAGACGUUUGCGUUCCGUUACUUGAGGAAAACCAAAUGCUGCUGACAUUUCUACCCAGAGAGAGUUUGCAUCUCUCCUGCUUCGCAGCCAUCUUUCCUACGGUUUUACCAGGAGAAUGCCUAGCUCUUCUCCAACCUGUGCCAGGCCUGACACUCAGCUCCUCUGGGAGUGCCUCCAUUUCCCUGUGCGUACAAGCCCACGGUGCCGUAGGAUCACCGGUCCACUCUGCGCGGCAGCACCGCACCCCGGAGCCGCAGCUCUUCCUCCCGCUUGCCCGACAGCCCUGGUGCCAAGCCCUGUCUGAGCCCCACCAGGAGGAAGCGCGUGCUGGCUGCUCUCCAUCUGCUCUGGGACUCUGGCCUGCUGCUUCCUCUGCCUGCCACUCCCCAACCCCGUUUCCUCCUCUGAAAACUGGAGCUACACCUGCCCCAACAGGGCAGAAUUACCUUAAAUGGCACAAGACAAUUGUACAGCAGACCCACCUCUUCUCCAAAGUUUUCAGGGCCCAAACCCAGACACCUCCUUGCAGGACUCAUGGCUACCGUGGGCUCGCACCACCAGCCUCCCCAUGCGUUUUCCUGCCUCUGCUUUUGCUCAAUCUGCUCAAUGACAGAAACGCGACAACAGAGGCCACUUUCUCCAAACCCAGCUCUCCCUCGAGGCUCCCAUCCUGCUGCUCACGCUGAGGCCACUCUACCCUGCCCUCCGCAGCUCACAGGCAGACCUGGAGCCCAGUGACUACAGGGUUGGCCUCCUCAUCUUGCCACCACUCACAAUGCCCAGCAGUGUUAAAAUCCGGCAGGAUGCACCCGCUUGGGAAGCAGUCCCCAAAGCAGAAUCGUCACCACAUCUGAAUAGUUUCUGCCAUCCCACUGACAGGCCAGCAUCUAAAAGAGAUGUGCGCUGAGCGUCCGUUAUGUGGUGGCGUCGCUGUGGUUUCUUAACCAGAACGCAAAAUCCUGUGACCAGGAUUAUCACCGGCUCGUUUCAUACAUGAGACGGGGGAAGCCAAAGUAACCACUCAGGCCACAGCAGAAAAACGCGUGCUGGAAUCUGAAACAAAGUCUGUUGGAUUCCAAGGGUUCAACGUCUUUUGUGAUGAUGAAGACGAAGCCUGCCCAAGAGCAGUCAGAGCUGAAAGAAGAAAAGCAGGAGGGCCUGUGAAUGCCCCCAACCCCCUAAAACCUGCAGCUCCAGGUCCGACACUCCCAGGUUUGCGUUUUGAAUUUACACUACCUAUGGGGUCCAGGCCAUCACCUAAGUGAGAAAUUUCACACGCUCACCCGGGGUGCUCAAAGCCAUCUCUCUAAAUGAGGUGCCUGAUGUGCAGACAACCCUUAUAUGAUCUACAUCUCUUCACCUGUCUGGAAAUCAAGACCCUCUCACGAUUUUUUUGUUUGUUUUUCCCCGAGA